GACGAACGCUGGCGGCGUGCUUAACACAUGCAAGUCGAACGGAAAGGCCCUGCUUUUGUGGGGUGCUCGAGUGGCGAACGGGUGAGUAACACGUGAGUAACCUGCCCUUGACUUUGGGAUAACUUCAGGAAACUGGGGCUAAUACCGGAUAGGAGCUCCUGCUGCAUGGUGGGGGUUGGAACGUUUCGGCUGUUGGGGAUGGACUCGCGGCUUAUCAGCUUGUUGGUGGGGUAGUGGCUUACCAAGGCUUUGACGGGUAGCCGGCCUGAGAGGGUGACCGGCCACAUUGGGACUGAGAUACGGCCCAGACUCCUACGGGAGGCAGCAGUGGGGAAUAUUGCACAAUGGGCGGAAGCCUGAUGCAGCAACGCCGCGUGCGGGAUGACGGCCUUCGGGUUGUAAACCGCUUUCGCCUGUGACGAAGCGUGAGUGACGGUAAUGGGUAAAGAAGCACCGGCUAACUACGUG
rnacentral:rRNA from 1 species